AGCGAACGCUGGCGGCAGGCUUAACACAUGCAAGUCGAACGGGCGUAGCAAUACGUCAGUGGCAGACGGGUGAGUAACGCGUGGGAACGUACCUUUUGGUUCGGAACAACCCAGGGAAACUUGGGCUAAUACCGGAUAAGCCCUUACGGGGAAAGAUUUAUCGCCAAAAGAUCGGCCCGCGUCUGAUUAGCUAGUUGGUGAGGUAACGGCUCACCAAGGCGACGAUCAGUAGCUGGUCUGAGAGGAUGAUCAGCCACAUUGGGACUGAGACACGGCCCAAACUCCUACGGGAGGCAGCAGUGGGGAAUAUUGGACAAUGGGCGCAAGCCUGAUCCAGCCAUGCCGCGUGAGUGAUGAAGGCCCUAGGGUUGUAAAGCUCUUUUGUGCGGGAAGAUAAUGACGGUACCGCAAGAAUAAGCCCCGGCUAACUUCGUGCCAGCAGCAGCCGCGGUAAC
rnacentral:rRNA from 1 species